rnacentral:tRNA from 1 species
GGCAGAUUGGUGAAGUGGCAAACACACAAGACUUUCAAUCUUGGAUCAGGGGUUCAAUCCCCCUAUCUGUCACCA